AAUUGAAGAGUUUGAUCAUGGCUCAGAUUGAACGCUGGCGGCAGGCCUAACACAUGCAAGUCGAGCGGUAGCACAGAGAGCUUGCUCUCGGGUGACGAGCGGCGGACGGGUGAGUAAUGUCUGGGAAACUGCCUGAUGGAGGGGGAUAACUACUGGAAACGGUAGCUAAUACCGCAUAAUGUCGCAAGACCAAAGUGGGGGACCUUCGGGCCUCAUGCCAUCAGAUGUGCCCAGAUGGGAUUAGCUAGUAGGUGGGGUAACGGCUCACCUAGGCGACGAUCCCUAGCUGGUCUGAGAGGAUGACCAGCCACACUGGAACUGAGACACGGUCCAGACUCCUACGGGAGGCAGCAGUGGGGAAUAUUGCACAAUGGGCGCAAGCCUGAUGCAGCCAUGCCGCGUGUGUGAAGAAGGCCUUCGGGUUGUAAAGCACUUUCAGCGGGGAGGAAGGCGGUGAGGUUAAUAACCUCAUCGAUUGACGUUACCCGCAGAAGAAGCACCGGCUAACUCCGUGCCAGCAGCCGCGGUAAUACGGAGGGUGCAAGCGUUAAUCGGAAUUACUGGGCGUAAAGCGCACGCAGGCGGUCUGUCAAGUCGGAUGUGAAAUCCCCGGGCUCAACCUGGGAACUGCAUUCGAAACUGGCAGGCUAGAGUCUUGUAGAGGGGGGUAGAAUUCCAGGUGUAGCGGUGAAAUGCGUAGAGAUCUGGAGGAAUACCGGUGGCGAAGGCGGCCCCCUGGACAAAGACUGACGCUCAGGUGCGAAAGCGUGGGGAGCAAACAGGAUUAGAUACCCUGGUAGUCCACGCCGUAAACGAUGUCGAUUUGGAGGUUGUGCCCUUGAGGCGUGGCUUCCGGAGCUAACGCGUUAAAUCGACCGCCUGGGGAGUACGGCCGCAAGGUUAAAACUCAAAUGAAUUGACGGGGGCCCGCACAAGCGGUGGAGCAUGUGGUUUAAUUCGAUGCAACGCGAAGAACCUUACCUGGUCUUGACAUCCACAGAACUUUCCAGAGAUGGAUUGGUGCCUUCGGGAACUGUGAGACAGGUGCUGCAUGGCUGUCGUCAGCUCGUGUUGUGAAAUGUUGGGUUAAGUCCCGCAACGAGCGCAACCCUUAUCCUUUGUUGCCAGCGGUUAGGCCGGGAACUCAAAGGAGACUGCCAGUGAUAAACUGGAGGAAGGUGGGGAUGACGUCAAGUCAUCAUGGCCCUUACGACCAGGGCUACACACGUGCUACAAUGGCAUAUACAAAGAGAAGCGACCUCGCGAGAGCAAGCGGACCUCAUAAAGUAUGUCGUAGUCCGGAUUGGAGUCUGCAACUCGACUCCAUGAAGUCGGAAUCGCUAGUAAUCGUAGAUCAGAAUGCUACGGUGAAUACGUUCCCGGGCCUUGUACACACCGCCCGUCACACCAUGGGAGUGGGUUGCAAAAGAAGUAGGUAGCUUAACCUUCGGGAGGGCGCUUACCACUUUGUGAUUCAUGACUGGGGUGAAGUCGUAACAAGGUAACCGUAGGGGAACCUGCGGUUGGAUCACCUCCUUA
rnacentral:rRNA from 1 species